rnacentral:rRNA from 1 species
UACGGGGGGCAAGCGUUGUUCGGAAUUACUGGGCGUAAAGGGUUCGUAGGUGGCCAACUAAGUCAGACGUGAAAUCCCUCAGCUCAACUCAGGAACUGCAUCCGAAACUGGCGGUCUGGAGUAGUGGAGAGGAAAGCAGAAUUCCUGGUGUAGAGGUGAAAUUCGUAGAUAUCAGGAGGAACACCGGUGGCGAAGGCGGCUUUCUGGACACUU